rnacentral:rRNA from 1 species
UACGUAGGUGGCGAGCGUUGUCCGGAAUUACUGGGUGUAAAGCGCGUGUAGGCGGGAGGCCAAGUCUGUGGUGAAAUCGCUCGGCUUAACUGGGCGGGGUCCAUGGAAACUGGUCACCUGGAGGUCGGUAGAGGCAAGUGGAAUUCCCGGUGUAGUGGUGAAAUGCGCAGAUAUCAGGAGGAACACCGGUGGCGAAGGCGGGUCUCUGGGCCGAUACCGACGCUGAGGAGCGAAAGCGUGGGGAGCGAACAGG